GCGGCAGUGGCGGAACGGCAGACGCGCUAGAUUCAGGAUCUAGUGGGGAGAUCCCCGUGGAGGUUCAAAUCCUCUCUGCCGCACCA
rnacentral:tRNA from 1 species